rnacentral:lncRNA from 1 species
GCUUGCUCACAUCAUUCAACGACCAAUAUGGCUGUAGCUGAACAACUUUAGCAAUCUCAUACUUCAGACCUCCCAAGUAUCUUGCAAUUGUUUGUUCUUCCGGUUCCACAAGUUCUCCUUUUAACAUCAAAUUAUCAAAUUCUGCAGUAUACUCCUCCACACUUAGAUCUUUUUACUUGAAAUCAUGUAUUUUGAGAAAGAUCUCUUGCCUAUAAUUAUGAGGUAAAUAUUUUCUCUUUAGCUCCCUUUUCAUUUUCUCCCAUGUAACGAUCUUACUCUUCCCCUCACGUUCUCUUUGUUUCUUCAGAUUUUCCCACCAAAAAGAUGCAUUCCGCCUGAGUUUGAGUGCCACAAGUUUGACCUUCUUUUGUU